CCAUGUCCGUGUGAAGGAUGACUCUUGGGCAAGCACAAAUAUACUUGGUGUUUCAGGGGUCGGUGACAUUCAAGUACGUGGCCGUGGACUUGUCCUGGGAGGAGUGGGGGCAGUUGGGCCCUGCCCAGAAGGAGCUGUACCGGGAGGUGAUGCUGGAGAUCUACAAGCACCUGGAAUUUGGGCCUGGUUGUUUCCAAGCCAGAUGUAAUCUUGCAGCUGGAGCAAGGGGAAGCACUGUGGAUGCCAGGGGGCGAGGUGCCGAGGAGAAACUGCCCAGUCUAAAAGAAAAGGGCUGCUUUUCCCUGUUUUGGGGUUGCCUCGAAUCUUUGAAAGUGACCAAAGAAGUUAUUGAAUUCAACCAGUGACCGAGCAGGAGCCCUCAGGACAGUGGCCGUAGGCUGUGGUGAUCCAGUCCCGCCCCUUGAAGGUCUCUGUUGAUGGGGAGCAGGCCACCUGCCAAGGUCACCCACAAGCCAGGACAAAGCGUAGAGCAUGGAUGCGUAAGGCAUUUAAAGUUGACCUUUCACGGGGAGAGAGGGGCCUGAAACUAAGGAGUCAGCA
rnacentral:lncRNA from 1 species